rnacentral:lncRNA from 1 species
CUAUCCUGCAGUCUCCCACUGCCUUUGCCUUGGAUUUGGGAGAAUACUGCUAUAAACAUAGGGGAUAUGUGGGAGAUAAUGCUGAUGCAUCAUCUCCAAAAAAAAUGGCAUCAUGGGAGGAGGGCUACAUUUGUAGUAAGGGAGCCUGAUUUAAGAUCUUAACUGCUUCUUAACAUAUGUGUGACUAUAGGUAAGUUAAUUAACCAAUUUGGGCCUCAGUUUCCUUAGUUGCUAAAUAAGGAAGCUGUACCAGAAUCUAUGGUCCUUUCCAACUCUAAAUCUAUUAUAUGAAGUAGUAUCAUUUUAGAAGUCAGUUUGGUAGUGGGGAGGAGAGUUUCUUAGGUCCUUGAAUCUACUCUAUUUAGGGAAGUCAUUAAUCAUCAGUUGGGAAUUUUAGAGCAGGAUUUAUUCAUGUUUCUCAUUCUUCCUACUCCCUAGAUUCCUGCCUUUCCCAAAGAGAAGAUCUAGGAAGACCAGGUGAUGGUGGCCAUGACUCUGACAUCUAGGGUCUUGAUAAUGGAAACAUCUGGAUACCCACCAAGCACAUCACGCCAUGUGGCACAGGGCCAGGAAGAGAAGCGAAGCAGAAGAACAACACAGAUGACAUGGAUCACCAGCAGACCAGCCACACUCAAGGCACACCUGACGAGAUGCUCACAGGUGACAACACACAUGUCAAAGACUGACAUUACACCUAUCUUAGUUAUAUUCACUAUUAUUGCACUGAUGGACACUUGUCAUGCUGAAAUCUAUUGGUCUAUUAUAUCUAAACCUCAAGUAUUAAGAAUGUCAACUUGGAUUAACAAGCCCCCACUUGUGUAUGUUAAUGACACCAAAUGGCCAUCAUACCCAGUUUUAGCCAAAGACAUUACCAUGGAGUCAGAAGGGACUAGCUAUAAUUAUUCAGGCACUACUUUAUACCCUUCAUUUUGUAUAUCUACAGUAUGUACUGACAAAAAGAAUUAA